GUCUAUGUCCAUACCACCCUGAACGUGCCUGAUCUCAUCUGAUCUUGGAAGCUAAGCAGGAUCGGACCUGGUGUAGGUG
rnacentral:rRNA from 1 species